rnacentral:rRNA from 1 species
UACGUAGGGGGCUAGCGUUGUCCGGAAUUACUGGGCGUAAAGGGCGCGUAGGCGGUGUGUCAAGUCAGGCGUGAAAGCCCCGGGCUCAACCUGGGAACCGCGCUUGAGACUGGCACGCUAGAGUUCGGGAGAGGAUGGUGGAAUUCCCAGUGUAGAGGUGAAAUUCGUAGAUAUUGGGAAGAACACCGAUGGCGAAGGCAGCCAUCUGGACCGACACUGACGCUGAGGCGCGAAAGCGUGGGGAGCAAACAGG